UUCCGAAUGGGGAAACCCAGUGUGAUUCGUCACACUAUCAUUAACUGAAUCCAUAGGUUAAUGAGGCGAACCGGGGGAACUGAAACAUCUAAGUACCCCGAGGAAAAGAAAUCAACCGAGAUUCCCCCAGUAGCGGCGAGCGAACGGGGAGGAGCCCAGAGCCUGAAUCAGUGUGUGUGUUAGUGGAAGCGUCUGGAAAGGCGCGCGAUACAGGGUGACAGCCCCGUACACAAAAAUGCACAUGCUGUGAGCUCGAUGAGUAGGGCGGGACACGUGGUAUCCUGUCUGAAUAUGGGGGGACCAUCCUCCAAGGCUAAAUACUCCUGACUGACCGAUAGUGAACCAGUACCGUGAGGGAAAGGCGAAAAGAACCCCGGCGAGGGGAGUGAAAAAGAACCUGAAACCGUGUACGUACAAGCAGUGGGAGCACGCUUAGGCGUGUGACUGCGUACCUUUUGUAUAAUGGGUCAGCGACUUAUAUUCUGUAGCAAGGUUAACCGAAUAGGGGAGCCGAAGGGAAACCGAGUCUUAACUGGGCGUUAAGUUGCAGGGUAUAGACCCGAAACCCGGUGAUCUAGCCAUGGGCAGGUUGAAGGUUGGGUAACACUAACUGGAGGACCGAACCGACUAAUGUUGAAAAAUUAGCGGAUGACUUGUGGCUGGGGGUGAAAGGCCAAUCAAACCGGGAGAUAGCUGGUUCUCCCCGAAAGCUAUUUAGGUAGCGCCUCGUGAAUUCAUCUCCGGGGGUAGAGCACUGUUUCGGCAAGGGGGUCAUCCCGACUUACCAACCCGAUGCAAACUGCGAAUACCGGAGAAUGUUAUCACGGGAGACACACGGCGGGUGCUAACGUCCGUCGUGAAGAGGGAAACAACCCAGACCGCCAGCUAAGGUCCCAAAGUCAUGGUUAAGUGGGAAACGAUGUGGGAAGGCCCAGACAGCCAGGAUGUUGGCUUAGAAGCAGCCAUCAUUUAAAGAAAGCGUAAUAGCUCACUGGUCGAGUCGGCCUGCGCGGAAGAUGUAACGGGGCUAAACCAUG
rnacentral:rRNA from 1 species